CCCUCCGCUUGUCCAUGUGAUCGUCUCUGGCGGUCAGCCGAAUCUGGCUCUGUCCCCUCGCCGUUGAUUGACAGAUCAUGGCCGGGCCUUCUCGCCGAAGAUCCUGCGCGCUGGUGAUUGGCCUACUCCGUUGCCGUGGUGACGAGGGCAGGGCUUGGAGUGCGGUGGAGUUAGUAUGGGCUGCAGCAACUCAACAGCGACUGCCACCGAAAGCGGAGAAAGAACGGUAAGACGAUUGUCCUUAUCCAGCAGAUCCAAGUUCUUGCUACCUGUGUGAAUAAGGCCCUGCUGGAACAGCAAAAGAUACCUGGCUGCAGACUCCACAAGACCAAAUACAACCCCUUAUGUCUGUGAUAUUCCUAUAUGCGAAGCCUGAAGUCUGACCUCAGCAAAUCAGCUUUGUUGUCAGAGGAGUCAACGUCAGAAGAUGAGAAAAGGAGGAAUUACGGAGGUGUCUACGUUGGUUUGCCUGCAGAUACUGCCACCAAGGUUCCCAGUCUCACAGCUACAACUGGCAAAGUCUAGAAGCUGACAUGCAGACCAAGGGAUCUUAAUUAGAAGGUGUUUUUCUUAAUCUGUGGAUCUGAAAAAUAUGUAUGGAUUGUGGAAACACCAAUGAGAUGAAAAGUAAGAUUGAAAUUUGCAUAAUUUAUACAAACAUUAAUGUGAUCAGGAGGAAUAUUCUGUGACUUUCUAGGAUAUACGUUUCAUUUCUGAAGUGCAGGGUGUGAACACAUGAUGUGAGAGAGAAUCAGUACUGCUGCAUUCAAACCUGGACUCCACAUGGACUGUGUAGAAUUGCCACUGGUAGUGUAUGUUUAAUUUUGAAUGCUAAGAAAAUAACAAGAAAUAGGAGCAGGAGUUCGUCAUUUAACCCUUCUAAUCCGUCUCUCCAAAUUGCUCUACUGUUUAGUAACAUUAUGGCUAAUCUUAUUUUGGCCUAAGCUCCACUUCCCUGCCUACUCCCCACAACCUUGCAGAUUCUUCUUUGGAAUAAUCAAAUUGAAUUCGAAUCAUUAAGUUUAUUCCAGUCUUCAUAGAUGCUGCCAGACCUGUUAAGGUUCUCCAGCAUUUUUUAAUCAUCGAGUCACAGAGAUGUACAGCCUGGAAACAGACCCUUUGGAAUAACUUGUCCAUGACACAAGACAGCCUAAAUAAAUCUAGUCCCAUUUGCCAGCAUUUGACCCAUAUCCCACUAAACCUUUUCUAUUCAUAUAUCCAUCCAGAUGCGGUUUAAAUAUUGUAAUUGCAUCAGCCUCCACCACUUCCUCUGGCAGCUCAUUCCAUACAUGCACCACCCUCUGUGUGAAAAAGCUGCCCCUUAAGGUCCCUUUUAAAUCUUUCUCCUCUCAUCUUAAACCUACAUCCUCCAGGUUUGGACUUCCCCACCCUGAGGAAAAGACCUUGUCUAUUUACCUUGUCCAUGCCCUUCAUGAUUUUAAAAACCUCUCUAAGCUCACCUGUCAGUCUCUGAUGCUCCUGGGAAAAUAGCCCCUGUAUAUUCAGCCUCUAACCUAUAGGUCAUACCCUCCAACUCUGGCAACAUCCUUAUAAAUCUUUUCUGAAACCUUUCAAGUUUCACAACAGCCUUCCUAUAGCAGGCAGACCAGAAUUGCAUGCAGUAUUCAAAAAGCGGCCUAACCAGUGUCCUGUACAGCUGCAACAUGAUUUCAAUGCACUGACCCAUAAAGGCAAGCAUAUCAAUCCUUUUAUGCGCUGUCCCUUUGUGAGAAUCUGAGAUUUGGAUACAGGCACAAGAUGGCUGCUGAUGCAAGUUAGCACAAAAUGGCUUCCAGUCUGGGGACUGUAAAUUCUGCUAGAGCUGCUCUUUUAGCCUGGGAAUUCUGAAUUCUGCUAGAGCUGCAUAAAUAACUCAGUAAUGAUAAGAUAAUACAGUACUAACCAUUCUAGCUGACCUUCGAUUGCAAAUGUUGUGGCGCUAUAUGGCGAGACAAAAAGUAACCUAAGCAUUGUGACAUAAGUUGUUUACCAGUUAAUACUAUUGGAUUAUGUAACUGUCAAUGAAGCAAUAUCAUGUAUUAAUUGGUAAUUGUUUGAAUACACUAUGCGAUCGCGCCAUGUACCCUGCUUUAAGAAAAGUAUAAAAAUGUCUUUGUAUUAACCUGUGGUGUGCAGCUCCUCUGAGGAAUACGGAAGUGCUCAACUUCUGAGAUUCUGGAUGAUCUGUAAUUGACCGUACGAAGAAAUAAAGUCUUAAACAGCCUGA